CUAAGCUCACAUCCUCAAAAGAAAGCCCACGAUUUUUUGGGGCUGUUUUACAUCCCAUCAGAAUUCAAAGCAAAGUUCAUGUUUCACCUCAAGCCCCACAGAAAAUGCUUGUUGCUUGGAAAUUGAUCUUGGAAAUUAUUCAAGUGCUCUCUGAGGUUUUCAGAGAUGUCCGUUCUGAGGAGAUAUCAAAUGUGCACACAUGGGCCCAACCCAGCUGACAAAUGUGUACCUGAUGACUUCCUGUGCUUGCUGCGCUGGAGUUGAGCAGCUGUAGGACUGAGACUUGGGGCGUAACGGUGAGCAAAAGCUUCAGGUAAGACAUUUAUCAGCUUUUACUCAUCUGCCGGUAGCGCAUAUUGCUACUUUCAUAUCCCACACGAAUAACCUGGAUCUAACAUCUUCCACUCUCUGUAACUCCUCAGCUCAGAAGUAACAGAGCAAGAAUUAUUAUUUUUGAAUGGUGAAAAUAGUACAAAAAGUCUGCAUAUAACCAACAUCCAGGCACUUUAGCAGCACAACACUGGAUCUGUGCUGCGGUGCUGUGUGAGACACGUAGAGGUACUGGGGGGUCCCUGCUGCAUCCGCGCCUCCCCCAGGGCUUUAGGGCUGCUUCAGCAGAGACACUGUGUGGGAUGAAUCCCCCUGGGAAGUGCAGUCUUUGGAGAGAGGAAACAUAAAGCAUCUGUGUAGUGUGUUCAUUUAAUGUGUUCAUCCAAGUAUUUCAGCAUUCUGGCUUCUUCUUGAAGCUAUCUUUCCCACCUUGGAAGAAAAGGUGCUUUGUGGGGAAAGUUCUUCAUUUAAAAAUCAAAUAAAGUUAAGCCUUCGCUGCAGCUUUUAUGUUUAAGGUGUUCAAAGCAGUUCCAAAAAACAUGUACCACCAGUGGAGGUAACUUUACUUUUCAUGAACGUGCAAACCAGAAUCUAGUGCUUACUACAGAUAUCUAAUUAAGUACAUCUUAAUCUCAUCUGCUGUGAGUGUAUUUCAAACUAUCAAAG